rnacentral:rRNA from 1 species
AUUGGGCGUAAAGAGCUCGUAGGUGGUUGGUCACGUCUGCUGUGGAAACGCAACGCUUAACGUUGCGCGUGCAGUGGGUACGGGCUGACUAGAGUGCAGUAGGGGAGUCUGGAAUUCCUGGUGUAGCGGUGAAAUGCGCAGAUAUCAGGAGGAACACCGGUGGCGAAGGCGGGACUCUGGGCUGUAACUGACACUGAGGAGCGAAAGCAUGGGGAGCGAACAGGAUUAGAUACCCUGGUAGUCCAUGCCGUAAACGUUGGGCACUAGGUGUGGGGGACAUUCCACGUUCUCCGCGCCGUAGCUAACGCAUUAAGUGCCCCGCCUGGGGAGUACGGUCGCAAGGCUAAAACUCAAAGGAAUUGACGGGGGCCCGCACAAGCGGCGGAGCAUGCGGAUUAAUUCGAUGCAACGCGAAGAACCUUACCAAGGCUUGACAUACACUGGACCGUUCUGGAAACCAGUUCUUCUCUUUGGAGCUGGUGUACAGGUGGUGCAUGGUUGUCGUCAGCUCGUGUCGUGAGAUGUUGGGUUAAGUCCCGCAACGAGCGCAACCCUCGUUCUAUGUUGCCAGCACGUGAUGGUGGGAACUCAUAGGAGACUGCCGGGGUCAACUCGGAGGAAGGUGGGGAUGACGUCAAAUCAUCAUGCCCUUUAUGUCUUGGGCUUCACGCAUGCUACAAUGGCUGGUACAGAGAGAGGCGAACCCGUGAGGGUGAGCGAAUCCCUUAAAGCCAGUCUCAGUUCGGAUCGUAGUCUGCAAUUCGACUACGUGAAGUCGGAGUCGCUAGUAAUCGCAGAUCAGCUACGCUGCGGUG